rnacentral:tRNA from 1 species
CGCCGCUUGGGCGAUGCGGUGGAAAGCAUCGCUUCCGGCGAAGCGGUGAUCGGCGCGCAGAUCGACGCCGGUUACGAGUCCGGCAGCGGCUU